GACGAACGCUGGCGGCGUGCUUAACACAUGCAAGUCGAACGGUGAAGCGCCUUCCUUUUUGGUGGGUGUGGAUGAGUGGCGAACGGGUGAGUAACACGAGAGUAACCUGCCCCCUUCCACAGGAUAACCGCAUGAAAGUGUGUCUAAUACAGGAUAUUCUGGGUCUGUCGCAUGAUGGGUCUGGGACAGAGGUUGUUGCGGUGGGGGAGGGGCUCGCGGCCGAUCAGCUUGUUGGGGGGGUGAUGGCCUACGAAGGCGGUGAGGGGUAGCCGGCCUGGGGGGGUGGCCGGCCCCAGUGGGACAGCGGCACGGCUGGGACUGCUACGCGAGGCAGCAGCGGGGAGUAGUGAGCAGUGGGCGAUAGUGUGAUGCAGGGGCGCCGCGGAUGCGACGGAGGCGUUCGGGUGGUGAACCUCUUUCGCCAGUGAAGCGGGCCUGCCUGGUAUGUGGGUGGGUUGACGGUAGCUGGAUAAGAAGCGCCGGCUAACUACGUG
rnacentral:rRNA from 1 species